CGGAGGAAAAGAAACCAACAGGGAUUGCCUCAGUAACGGCGAGUGAAGCGGCAAAAGCUCAAAUUUGAAAUCUAGCACCUUCGGUGUUCGAGUUGUAAUUUGAAGAUGGCAACCUUGGGUUUGGCUCUUGUCUAUGUUCCUUGGAACAGGACGUCAUAGAGGGUGAGAAUCCCGUCUGAUGAGAUGCCCAUUCCUUUGUAAGGUGCUAUCGAAGAGUCGAGUUGUUUGGGAAUGCAGCUCUAAGUGGGUGGUAAAUUCCACCUAAAGCUAAAUAUUGGCGAGAGACCGAUAGCGAACAAGUACAGUGAUGGAAAGAUGAAAAGAACUUUGAAAAGAGAGUGAAAAAGUACGUGAAAUUGUUGAAAGGGAAGGGCAUUAGAUCAGACUUGGUGUUUUACGAUUAUCUUCUCUUCUUGAGUUGUGCACUCGUAUUUCACUGGGCCAGCAUCGAUUCGGAUGGUAAGAUAAGAACAGUUGAAUGUGGCUCUUCGGAGUGUUAUAGCUUCUGUUGAUAUUGCCUGUCUGGAUCGAGGGCUGCGUCUUUUGACUAGGAUGCUGGCGUAAUGAUCUAAUGCCGCCCGUCUUGA
rnacentral:rRNA from 1 species